rnacentral:rRNA from 1 species
GAUCCUAGCUCAGAUUGAACGCUGGCGGCAGGCCUAACACAUGCAAGUCGAACGGUAACAGAAAGCAGCUUGCUGCUUCGCUGACGAGUGGCGGACGGGUGAGUAAUGUCUGGGAAACUGCCUGAUGGAGGGGGAUAACUACUGGAAACGGUAGCUAAUACCGCAUAACGUCGCAAGACCAAAGAGGGGGGACCUUCGGGCCUCUUGCCAUCGGAUGUGCCCAGAUGGGAUUAGCUUGUUGGG